rnacentral:lncRNA from 1 species
CCCAAGUUUAUCCUCUAAUUAUUGAAACAUUAAAUAGGUUUAAUCCAAUACUAAUUUUUAUCUAUUUGUUUAGAUAAUAUCAUUUAAAAACUAUUUCUAUAAAACCCUUCUGUGGGUAAUAUUGGCUGGUAAAAACCAAAACCAUAUUUCUCAUUAGCACAUUUCCAUAGUUUUUGUUUUUGUUUUGGUUUGAGAAAAUGGAUUUCGUUAACACAUCAAGAAUACAGUACAAGAUGCGACAACAUGCAGACAAAUUGGCCUCAUUAAAACCUUUAUGAGUAGUUGCGGAUCCAGGAAUUUUGCUUGCAAGGGUCAACAUCUUACGGGUGCAGCUCCUUAACCCUAUGUCUGUGUUGGCGGAGCUAUGUUUAGAUCCAGAGAAAAUGGGAAUAAAGAUGCUAUUUUAUUUAUGAGUUUGAAGAGAUAGGUUUAGAUCGAGAGAAAUGGAAAGGAAGAAAAUUGGUGGAGCUAGGGUUUUUCUCUCAUUAUUUUCUUUUAUAGACGUCCAUUAUGACCCUUGAGCUUCACAUUGUGGCAUUGUGGCUUUUCUCUCUGUGAUUUCUACUUCGUGUUUUUGGGCUUUCCACCUUAAGCUACACACCCAUGGCUUUCUCUGUCUUUUAAAAUUUUUAGAGACUUAGACCUGGAUUGAUUGUUUAAUGACAAUGAACAUAUUUUUAAUUACCUGAAAAAUAAAUGAACAUAUUUUUGAGUUAGAGACUUAGACCGUUUGACCCCAAAAAAAAAAUAAAAAAAAUCCUUGGACCAACCCGUGGAUUUGGCCUACUUUUCUUUAUUAUUUUUUUAGUUUUUUGUUGCUACAAUUACAUGCCCAUCACUUUGUGC